AGCCUGUGAUGAAGAGAUUCUGCCAAAUGAAUGUGCUGAUUAUACCCUUUACCGUUCCAUUUAAUCUGAGGUU